rnacentral:lncRNA from 1 species
GGCUGAUUGUGCUCGUCUGCUCUGGGUCCAAAAUAUUGCCAUCUUCAUCUCUAACGACCAGAUCUAAAUCAAGAAUCCUGUUUCCAUAGUCAAUUUUGGCUGUCACCUUCUUUUUCAGUUCUUUGAGCUCAUCUUGGGGGAGUGUCCCAGACAGUAUUUGAGAUCUCCACUCAAUAAGAUCAUAUAUCAUGUGCCGUACGCUGCGAAACAUCUCCCUGUUAUCUUGAACGUAUAAUUGCCGCCAUAUUAUAGACCAUUCCCGUAGUGUUGUGGUAACCUCCUGAAUCAGGGGCAGCUCGUUGGGUAUAACAGUUUCAUGUUGUCCUUUUCCUUCGACUAUUGCUUCCUUAAGGUGAAUAUAGGAGGCUGGAAAUAUGCCCUUCUUGGAUUUCUUCCUCAGCGUAUAACCCCUGUACCAACCUUCAUAUGUUUCUAAUAUGUGCACAGUGUCUCCUAUUUGUAAGGAAAGCUCAUCGGGUC